AUUGAACGCUGGCGGCAGGCUUAACACAUGCAAGUCGAGCGCGUAGCAAUACGAGCGGCAGACGGGUGAGUAACGCGUGGGAAUCUACCCAACCCUACGGAAUAACGCAUGGAAACGUGUGCUAAUACCGUAUACGCCCUUAGGGGGAAAGAUUUAUCGGGGAUGGAUGAGCCCGCGUUGGAUUAGCUAGUUGGUGGGGUAAUGGCUCACCAAGGCGACGAUCAGUAGCUGGUCUGAGAGGAUGAUCAGCCACACUGGGACUGAGACACGGCCCAGACUCCUACGGGAGGCAGCAGUGGGGAAUAUUGGACAAUGGGCGCAAGCCUGAUCCAGCCAUGCCGCGUGAGUGACGAAGGUCUUCGGAUUGUAAAGCUCUUUUUGGCGGGGACGAGUAAUGACGGUACCCGCAGAAGUAANCCCCGGCUAACUUCGUGCCAGCAGCCGCGGUAAUGUGACUACUG
rnacentral:rRNA from 1 species